rnacentral:rRNA from 1 species
GAGGCCCUACGGGACGCAGCAGUGAGGAAUAUUGGUCAAUGGGCGGAAGCCUGAACCAGCCAAGUCGCGUGAGGGACUAAGGCCCUGCGGGUCGUAAACCUCUUUUGCCGGGGAGCGGUGGUCCGGACGCGUCCGGACCGGGAGAGUACCCGGAGAAAAAGCAUCGGCUAACUCCGUGCCAGCAGCCGCGGUAAUACGGAGGAUGCGAGCGUUAUCCGGAUUUAUUGGGUUUAAAGGGUGCGUAGUCGGGCAUUUAAGCCGGCGGGCAAAUGUCGGGGGUCAACCCCGGGC